rnacentral:lncRNA from 1 species
GCCUGAAAUUACAAGGAACAAUAAAUAAGUAGUAGUUAGAAAUUGCUCUACUGAUUUCUUUUCUCCUAGGAAGAUAUCAACAGGAGAAGUUUAAAUGUCGUGAAAAACUUCCAGAAAAAUGUUAUGUACUCUUCAUUGUUAGUGUACAUGGCUAAAGAAGACCAGAGGGAGGAGCAGAAGCACGUUACACAAUGUAUAUGCUUUAGCAGUGGGGACUCCUGAAGUGCAAUGGCCAUAGUAGGAGGUCUCUUUAUGCAGAAGUACAUGAAUAUCAGUUGAUACCACAGUCUUGCUUAGAAGAGGAGAAAUGUUACAUGAUGGAUACUUCCAAAUCUAAAAUCUGACUGUAAGAAAAGAAAUGUUUUCUAUGUCCUGCCUGAGAAACGUUGCGUACUUUGAAUCAUGAUUUAUCAAAAUCCUGAAUAUGUGCUCAACUUGAAGAACAGAAAUGAUCUAGCUGAAGUCAAUGGAAAGAUAAGUGCUUAUUUAACUUCUCUGCUGGACUGAGAUCAGCAAUCCCAGGACCUUUCUCAGAUGAAAGUAGAGAGAUCUGCAGUACUGAUGAAAAUUCACUAAACAAUUUGCUAGGAAUUGUGAACACUAGGUUAAAUAGGAACCACAAUAAAAGGCAUUUAGCUUUGAAAUUGUCCUUGGUUUCCACAGUUCAAGGUCUAAGCGAAGGAGACGAUAAAAAAUUUCACAGAUAUAACAAAAGUAAGUAUUGUCUCUGUUCCAGUGUAUCACAUAUAACAAAUUUCUUUUUUUGAAAGGGAAU